rnacentral:rRNA from 1 species
GACGGAGGAUGCAAGCGUUAUCCGGAAUGAUUGGGCGUAAAGCGUCCGCAGGUGGCAGUUCAAGUCUGCUGUCAAAGACCGGGGCUUAACUUCGGAAAGGCAGUGGAAACUGAACAGCUAGAGUAUGGUAGGGGCAGAGGGAAUUCCUGGUGUAGCGGUGAAAUGCGUAGAGAUCAGGAAGAACAUCGGUGGCGAAGGCGCUCUGCUGGGCCAUAACUGACACUCAGGGACGAAAGCUAGGGGAGCGAAUGGG